GGGGGGAGCACCGGAUCCAGGGCUGUGUCCUCCAGCGCCCUGGGCUCUGGGGCCUGCACCCCUGGAAUUGCACUCCCGGCCUGCAGCCCCCU
rnacentral:pre_miRNA from 1 species